UGGGGAAUAUUGCACAAUGGACGGAAGUCUGAUGCAGCGACGCCGCGUGGGGGAUGAAGGCUUUCGGGUUGUAAACUCCUUUCAGUACAGACGAAGCUUUAUUGUGACGGUAUGUGCAGAAGAAGCGCCUGCUAACUACGUGCCAGCAGCCGCGGUAAUACGUAGGGCGCGAGCGUUGUCCGGAAUUAUUGGGCGUAAAUAGCUCGUAGGCGGUUUGUCGCGUCUGCUGUGAAAGACCGGGGCUUAACUCCGGGGCUGCAGUGGGUACGGGAAGGCUGGAGUGCGGUAGGGGUAAGGGGAAUUCCUGGUGUAGCGGUGGAAUGCGCAGAUAUCAGGAGGAACACCGAUGGCGAAGGCAGGUUACUGGGCCGUAACUGACGCUGAGGAGCGAAAGCAUGGGGAGCGAACAGG
rnacentral:rRNA from 1 species